ACUGGUUAGGGCUGACUUAUUUUUAAUAUGAUGUGUGGUAGGGAUUCAACCUCAUCUUUUUGCAUGUGGAACUCCAGUGUCCCAGCAACAACUGUUGAAGAGAUUAUGAUUUUCCCAUUGAAUGGCCUUGGCGCCCUUUUUGAAAAAUCAAUGGACCAUAUAUAUUUGGUUUAUUUCUGGACUCUCAAUUCUGUUCCAUUGGUCUGUAUGCUAUCUUUAUGCCAGUACCAUACUGUUUGCUUACUGGAUUUCAAAACUUACUACAGAGUAAGUUUUGAAAUACACAAGUGAAUUCUCCAACUUUGUUCUUUUUCAAGAAUAUUUUGGCUAUGUGGGUCCCCUCACAAAUUCAUAUAAAUGUAAUGUUUGGCUUUUCCACUUCUGCAAAAAAGGCUGUGGAAAUUUUGAGAGGGAUUGUGUUGAAUCUGUAGAUUGCUUUGGGUAGUAUUUACAUUUUAACAAUAUUAAGUCUUCCAGACCAUGAACAUGGGAUGUUUUUUCCACUUAUGUGUGUCUUCUUUAAUUUCUUUCAGCAAUGUGUUGUAGUUUUUGGUAUACAAGUCUUUUACCUUGCUUAUAUUAUUCCUAGGUAUUUUAUAUUUUUGGAUGCAUUUGUAAAUGGAGUUGCUCUCUUAACUUCCUUUUUUGAUUAUUCAUUACUGGUGUAUUGAUUAUUGUGCAUUGACCUUGUGUCCUGCAACAUAACCGAAUUCAUUUAUUAGCUCUAGUAGUUUUUUUUUGAUUCUUAGGGAUUUUUCCUACAUAGGAUCAUGUCAUCUGUCAAUACAGUUUUUCUUCUUUUACGGUUUGGAUGUCCUUUGUUUCUUCUUGCUGAAUUGCUCUGGCUAGAACUUCUGGUACUUUGUUGAAUAGAAGUGGCGCGAGUGAGCACCCUUGUCUUGCUCCUGCUCUUACAGAAAAGCUUUUCAGUCUCUCGCCAUUAUGUUUGCUGUGGGUUUUCGUAGAUCUCCUUUACCGUGCUGAGGAAGUUCCUUUCUAUUCUUAGUUUUCUAAGUGGUCUUGAGAUGAAAGGGUUAAAUGCCUUUUCUCCAUUAAUUGAGUAAUGGUGUUUUUCCCCCUUUUGUUCUAUCAUCGAUUGAUAUUUCUCAUGUUGAAUUAUCCUUGCAUUCAUAGGGCAAAUCCCACUUGGCCAUGAUGUAUAAUCAUCUAGAGAUGCUGUUGGAUUUAGAUUACUUGUAUUUUGUUGAGGUUUAUUAUUAUUUUUUUGUUAUUGUUAUUGAGUUUUGCAUCUGUAUUCAUAAGGGAUAUUGGUCUGAUUUUCUUGUUUUUGGCUUUAGUAUCAGUGUAUUGCUGGCCUUAUAGAAUAGGUUAGGAAGUGUCCCCUCCUCUUCAGUUUGUUGGUAGAGCUUAAGUAGGAUUGGUGUUAAUUCUUCUUUAAAUGUUUAAUAGAGUUCACCAGGGGAAAAACAACAACAAAAAUUCACCAGGGAAGCCACGUAUCCCAUACCAGUUUUGUUUCUUAUUUAUGUUACUUUGGGUAAUAAUUUGUUUGUAGGAAUUUGUCCAUUUCAUCUAAAUUAUCUUACUUGUUGGUGUGCAGUUGUUCACCGUAUUCUCUCAUCCCUUUUAUUUCCUUAAGGUCAGAGGUAAUGUCUCUACUUUCAUUUCUGAUUGUAGUGAUUCGUCUUUUUUUCUUUCAGUCUAGCUAAAGGUCUGUCAAUUUUGUUCAUCUUUUCAGAGAACCAACUUUUACUUUCAUUGACUUUUUGUUUUAUCUCUAAUUUUUAUAAUUUUUUAAAAUCCUCACCCGAGGACAUGUUUGUUUGUUAGCUAUUGAGAGAGAGAACAUCGAUAUGAGAAAUAUCCAUCAGUUGCCUUCGGCCCUCGCCCUGAACCUGCAACCUGGAUAUGUGCCCUGAUAGGAUUUGAACCCACCACCUUUUGGUGUACAGGAUGACAUGCCAAUCAACUGAGCCACACUGGCCAGGCCAUUUCUAUUUUUUAUUUGUUCCUUUCUUCUUCUGUGUUUAGGUUUAGUUUUGCUUUUUUUUUCUCCUUUUUUCUUCAAAAUGUAAAGUGAGGUUACUAAUUUGAUAUCUUUUUUUAAUGUAGACAUUUAUGACUGUGAAUUCUCCUCUGAACACUGCCUUCAUUGCAUUCCAUGGCUUUUGCUCAAUGUGCUUUUUCAUCAAAGGAUACAUUCUUCAUUCAUUGAACAAUAUACCAGAUGGGUUCUAGGUGCUGGGGAUGCAGAGGGGAAUACAAGAGACAGGCAGUAUUUACAUUGUGAUGGAGCUGCCAUUUAGGAUAAGCCAACAUGACAGCAAUUGUUGGUUUCAAAUCCAUAAAAUGGUAGUGUGAUAGAGAAUGGUGGUAACACUACUUUAAUUUUUAAAUUUUAUUUUAAAUAGGUAACAUAUACACAUGGUUUGAAAAUAAAAAAGAUAUUAAAAAGGCCCUGGCUGGUAUGGUUCAAUGGGUUGGAGCGUUGUUGCAUACACUGAAAGGUGGCAGGUUCAAUUCCCAGUCAGUGCACAUGCCUGUGUUACUGGCUCCAUCCCCAGUAGGGUGCUUUCAGGAGGCAGUCAGAUCGAUGAUUCUCAUCAUUAAAGUUUCUAAUUCCCUCUCCUUCCUCUCUCUGAAAUAAAUAACAUU